UCCCACGAGUCUCAUGUAGCUCAGUGGUAGAGCGUCCGACCGAUGUGCGGAAGGUCAUAGGUUCGACUCCUGUUUGGGGAA
rnacentral:tRNA from 1 species